rnacentral:rRNA from 1 species
GCCGUCGAAGACGACGACGUCGAUAGGUCGGAGGUGUAAGCGCCGCAAGGCGUUGAGCUGACCGAUACUAAUCGCCCGUGCGGCUUGGUCGUUCUUUU